GGCUCUGUGGCUUAAUUGGAUAAAGCGCUGUGUUCUUAAUGCAGAGACUGUGAGUUCGAACCUCACCAGAGUCA